AAUGAACAUUUGAACCUAUCUACCGAGAAGAUUCACCUCUCCUUGCCAACCACUUGGAGCCAUCAGUCCGAACCCGUCGAGACAUAAGCAUUCCAGUUCUACAGGAACUAGAUCAUUAGAGAAAAAGCAAGUCAUCUCUCUGUGAGGGAACAGUCAACCCGGCCAGGUGUAUCGUUUUCCAAAUCUUUGAGUAAACCGAAUGCUGCUCUAGGAAGAUUGCACUCCAUUGUAUUUAUCCUGCAGCUUUGUGUAACCUGUCAGCCCUGCACACCCAGCUGGUAUUUGUAUCUGGAUGAGAAGCGCAGCCUUUGGGAAGGCAGAACACUGGGGCAGAACUGGUGCCAACACCAGUCUUGGAUUGGGGUCUGUCAUUCAGGGCCUGUGAUUGAGUUUGGUACAUGCUAUGGUAUUAAGUCAAAGGAAAUCUGAGAUCUCUGAAUCAUUUACAGACACACUCCAAUUUCCUCCUGGAACAUGCAGUUGCCAUUUGGGGGCAUGGGUUGGUGAGAGGAGGGAGAAAAGGAGGGAAGAUGGGAGAGGGCACCAGGGCUGCAUGUAAAGCUCUGCCUCACACUGUCAGUUGUUUUCAGCUCACUGCAUGAACUCUGUAGAGAGGCCAGAUAAUUUCACAAAGUUUACCUUAAUUUGCAACCUACCUAGAGGAGACAUGGUCAGGCAGCUGGAUGGUGAUUCUUUUCCAGCUUGAGCUGUUGACAGAGUUGUAGAUGGUGGCUUCAUGGAACUGGAAAGGGGAGCAGCCAAUGCUGUUAGAAGAGGAAGGAAGGCACUGGGUCUGUACGAGCUGCCAGGAAUCCGAUCUGCAGAAACCAAAAGGCUUUGUUAGACAAAUUGUAAGAGAAACAUAUAAUCUGUUAAUGUCAAGGUAAUGCUUUGUGAUCGGGUUAAAUUAAAAUAUUUGUAUAGGAGUUUCCUGUUUUCUAUAAACAUUUAUAAUUACAGAUUAUAAAAAAAUUAAAAUAUUUUCUCUUAAG
rnacentral:lncRNA from 10 species